rnacentral:lncRNA from 1 species
UACCUGGCUGCUGACUCUGCAAUCCUGAUGUUGCAAGUAUCCACAAAGAAAGGAGUCAAACAGGCGAUUCAGAAAUACCUUGCCCGCUUCUCUCUGGAAGUGUCUGCUUCUCUCCAGAUGUCCGGACACAGUCCCUCAAGAAAGAUGCUGCUGUGACCUCACCAGAGCUCUCGUUCGACCACAUCCUUGACAUUGCCRUUCAAGCU